rnacentral:rRNA from 1 species
UUGGAGGGCAAGUCUGGUGCCAGCAGCCGCGGUAAUUCCAGCUCCAAUAGCGUAUAUUAAAGUUGCUGCAGUUAAAAAGCUCGUAGUUGAAUUUCGGGAUCAUCAUGUCGGUCGUGCCUCGGUACGUACUGGCAUCGUUGGUUUCUCCCUUCUGACGAACCACGAUGUCAUUUAUUUGGUGUUGUGGGGAAUCAGGACUGUUACUUUGAAAAAAUUAGAGUGUUUAAAGCAGGCUCACGCUUGAAUACAUUAGCAUGGAAUAAUGAAAUAGGACGUUUGAUUCUAUUUUGUUGGUUUCUAGGAUCGACGUAAUGAUUAAUAGGGAUAGUUGGGGGCAUUAGUAUUCAAUUGUCAGAGGUGAAAUUCUUGGAUUUAUUGAAGACUAACUACUGCGAAAGCAUUUGCCAAGGAUGUUUUCAUUAAUCAAGAACGAAAGUUAGGGGAUCGAAGACGAUCAGAUACCGUCGUAGUCUUAACCAUAAACUAUGCCGACUAGGGAUCGGAUGAUGUUAAUUUUUUAAUGACUCAUUCGGCGCCUUACGGGAAACA